CACGAGUCGAUGGGGGUUACUC
rnacentral:piRNA from 1 species